AGUGGUUCUCAAGUCCAGUCCUUGAGCACACCUGAUUCAAAUGAUAAGCUCGUUAGUGAGCCAUUCCAGAGCUUGAUAACGAGCUCAUCAUUUGAAUCAGGUGUGAGGACUGGACUUGAGAACCACU